rnacentral:rRNA from 1 species
AAGUCAGUGGCGGACGGGUGAGUAACGCGUGAGUAACCUGCCCUUCAGAGGGGGAUAACGUCUGGAAACGGACGCUAAUACCGCAUGACAUAUUUCCAUCGCAUGGUGGAGAUAUCAAAGGAGCAAUCCGCUGAAAGAUGGACUCGCGUCCGAUUAGAUAGUUGGCGGGGUAACGGCCCACCAAGUCGACGAUCGGUAGCCGGACUGAGAGGUUGAACGGCCACAUUGGGACUGAGACACGGCCCAGACUCCUACGGGAGGCAGCAGUGGGGGAUAUUGCACAAUGGGCGAAAGCCUGAUGCAGCAACGCCGCGUGAGGGAAGACGGUUUUCGGAUUGUAAACCUCUGUUCUAAGUGACGAACAAAUGACGGUAGCUUAGGAGAAAGCCCCGGCUAACUACGUGCCAGCAGCCGCGGUAAUACGUAGGGGGCAAGCGUUGUCCGGAAUUACUGGGUGUAAAGGGAGCGCAGGCGGAGAAGCAAGUCAGUGGUGAAAACGAUGGGCUUAACUCAUCGACUGCCAUUGAAACUGUUUCCCUUGAGUGAAGUAGAGGCAGGCGGAAUUCCGAGUGUAGCGGUGAAAUGCGUAGAUAUUCGGAGGAACACCAGUGGCGAAGGCGGCCUGCUGGGCUUUAACUGACGCUGAGGCUCGAAAGUGUGGGGAGCAAACAGGAUUAGAUACCCUGGUAGUCCACACUGUAAACGAUGAUUGCUAGGUGGGGGGGGGUCUGACCCCUUCCGGGCCCGGAGUUAACGCCAAUAAAGCAAUCCCACCUGGGGGAGUACGGGCCGCAAGGUUGAAACUCAAAGGAAUUGACGGGGGCCCGCACAAGCAGUUGGAUUAUGUGGUUUAAUUCGACGCAACGCGAAGAACCUUACCAGGUCUUGACAUCCAACGAAUCCUUAAGAGAUUAGGGAGUGCCUUUCGGGGAACGUUGAGACAGGUGGUGCAUGGUUGUCGUCAGCUCGUGUCGUGAGAUGUUGGGUUAAGUCCCGCAACGAGCGCAACCCCUGCCAUUAGUUGCUACGCAAGAGCACUCUAAUGGGACCGCUACCGACAAGGUGGAGGAAGGUGGGGACGACGUCAAAUCAUCAUGCCCCUUAUGACCUGGGCUACACACGUAAUACAAUGGCCGUUAACAACGGGAGGCAAAACCGCGAGGUGGAGCAAAACCCUAAAAACGGUCCCAGUUCGGAUCGCAGGCUGCAACCCG